GGGGCAUUGCCCGCUUGGGGUGCAGGAUGGUCUUAAUUCUGGCUUCAGGAUGGCAGCAGAGUGGAGAAGAAGAGGGCUUUCCCCAAACUGAGCCUUUGUAAUCAGGGAAUGACACGGCUGCCUCAGUGGGGCUGGAGCAGGCUAAGGAGUGUCUGAGGCAGCGCUGGGUGGGAUAAUUAAACAGUACUGACACCUGCUCCCCCACCGAAGGCGAAGGCACAGGCUGCCUAAUAUUUAUCCAAUUGAAGGGGAUGAGGCAAAUCUUGCCUCCUGGAGGCCUGUCUCCUUUGUCUGCGGAGCUGCAGCCCCCUCUCCCCAGGAGGCUUCAUUCUCCUCCAGAGUGAUUUCAGGGGCGGUCUGCUUGGGAGGGAACCAGCAAGUCCCCACUCCCUGCUCACAAGCAAGCUCUGUGCCCUGCCUCCCGGCACCAGCCAAUGCCAAGAGUUUCUAGACCCCCCUUCUAGAAGUGGCCUAAGUUCCUGAGGCUUAGCAUGAGAAAGCAGCCCGCAUCCUUCCAAGGAACUAGUCAGGCAGGAGCCAAGGAUACCAGGUCUCAGAGGUGUUGCAGGGAGUUGCUGUUUUUUAAAUGUAAUAGGAAAUAAGCAAAAGGCAUAAAAACAACAGAAGAUGUGAGUACCCGCCACCCAGCUUAAACUAUAAAACGCCAAUUCUCCUUUCCCCUCAGAAGAAGCCACUUAAGGUUGCAUUUCUACUUACCGCACAGGGAUGGGCGUAACUGAGAGUUCUUUUAGUGCCCUCUCUGGGUGUAACACUGCGCUGAGCUCCGAAGAGGAUACAAAAGAGGACAAGGAUGUGGGAGACGACCACAAAGAGAUAAGGAAUCAUUGGAGGAGAGACCUGUGGUGUUCCCACUGUAAAUGGAGCAAUCUGAGCAAAAUGCAUCACAAACUGAGAAGUGCAGGGGCCUGCAGCUACGGCGUGGAGCCUGCAGGAGAACAGCUCAGGGGGAAGGAUGAAGCUGACUGGUCGAGCAUCCUGCCUGCUGACGCACCGGUGGAUUUUUGCUUCUGGUCAUUUCGGCUCCUGGACUCCAGUCCAACGAGAGGCCUCUUAUCAACAGCAGCAGUCCUGCUGCCCAGCAGACCUCUCCCAGAGCCUUCCGGAUAUGGUUAACCUCUGUCAAGCAAGGGGUUUUUUGAACUCAGAGGCAGAGCCACUCAGCUGGGACAUCAGGAAAGCAGCAUGGCUGGCAGAUGCUGCGUGCGUUUAAGUUGGAAAUAGAGGGUUGUCGAGAACACAGAGAGCUCCAAUGUAGGCUUGUUAAAGUUACUGUGGAGAACUGCUCAAAAGUUCAUUUUGAUAGCCAUUCCUUAGGUCUAAAUGCACCUGCAUAUUAUGCUAGAAUACAUUCUUUCCUUUCUCCCUCACAGCGGUUCCCUUGUAAGUUCAAAAGUCUGUUGUCUCUUCAACUAUGAAGCAAUCACUUUAUCACUGUCUUUAGAGAUUGCACAAUCUGGGGUUGUGUGGUUUCCCGUGUCUCACUCUCUGGAAGGAACUUGUCAUUUGAGUUUUUAGAUUUUUCAUAUCUUCCCCACUCCAUAUCUCUUGUGCUCCAGCUUCUCAUUUAAAGAGAAAAACAGUUACACAGUCCUCAUCCUUUUUGCCUAGCUGAAUUAUAAAUUACUGAAACAAGAUGUCUUUACUUACCUUACUUGUUAUUUGGGAAAAAUCUCUCUUACACUCAAAUAAAUGGGUUUUUAUAUUGUCAAAUUUUCCUUUUCUUAAACAAAAAAUUUCAACAUAUUUCUGUUAGAGUUGAAGAAACCAUUAAUUUGGCAGGCCAGAAUAGACUAGGGUGUCGAAUCUGUGGUAUCUAUUCCUUUGAGUAGUCCAUCGUGAUAGUUCUACAUUCGAUUUUUCUUUCUACUUAAAAAUAAACAAGGAGAAGGAUUAACUUAAGAGUUUUUAUUCAUAACAUUGUGUUCAAUUUCCAUGCUUUAAAAAGAAAAUGGAGGCAGUAUAUGUCACAAUUGAAAUGGAAAACUUUUCUUUUAAAAUUCUAGCCAAGAAAAAACAAAGUUCUAGAAGCUUGUCUUGGCAACAAAUUAUGUGACCUUCAAUAAUCCGUUUGACCUUCAGUGCUUCAGUUUAUUCUGACAAAUGAAGUCACUGGAUGAGAAAACUGUUAAUGCCCCUUUCCAUUUUAAAAUUCUACAAUUCUGGGAUGUAUUAUCUUUGGAAACUACAUCUUUGAGAACAAAAUUCCCAUGGAACAAACUCUUCAUAUCUUACUAAUAGCCUGAUUUUUGCUCUCCCCAAAUGACAUUUUAUAUCAACUCAGCAGCAAAAUUCUUUUUUGUCUCCCACAGCCACAUUGUGAGGAGAAAAUGAAAAUAUUUAUUUACCCCAAACAUAUAUCAGUGAUAAUUUGCCUAAGCUGUUUAGGGAAUAUUAACAAGCACAAUACUACAUGGUGGUGUGUAACAAAAAGAGGUCAUCGGACAGAUAUGCUAAUGCAAGAAGCAUGGCUCUGAUCAUUAAUAUAUUCAGGGAUGGUCUUCAGUUGUCCGUGGAGUCCUUGACGUUACAUUUCCCACUAAAACAUUCCUCUGACUCUUUGGUAUAACUUGUGCUUCAAAUUAAAACUUUGCACUUUCAGUCAAGAUAGCGGCUCUUAUGUUCUUACCUAGGUAAUUAGGGCAAGUGUCAGUAUACUGGAGGGUUUGAGUUAACGCAGUUAAUUAUGGGGCUAUAGAUCUUCAUGGUACAGUCUCCAGUCGAGCUCGCUCUGAAGUCUUUUACCAGAUCAAGGCUUUUCAGUCUGUAUCCAUACACAGUUGAAACGACUAAUCAAUUCAGUGAAAACGAUCGGCCAAUUUCAGCUACACACCAGUGAUAUAUGCCACUGGUACUGGGCACAAUAUAAAGACAGAAAGAUUACCCAUAUUUUCAGUUACUUGUGAAAUAUUAUGGUUUUAAAAAAUAAAUAAUUGCAUUUUGGAAGAAACUUUAUGGCUUUUUGCCUACAUCCAUGGUAUACAUAUGCCACUAUAUAAGAGUUUCACUGUGUUCAUGUCAAUAAAAUUUUUCUAAAUUUCGCAUUUAGACUAUUUGUAUAUUCCCAUCCUAAAAUGCUGAAAAAGUUACCUCUGUAAUAUAGAGUUUUGUGUAAACUUUACAAAUCUUUGUCUUAGGGCAAGCAUGUCCUAUAAAAUGGGGGUUA